GUCUAUGGCCAUACCACCCUGAACACGCCUAAUCUCGUCUGAUCUCAGAAGCUAAGAAUAGGAAAGCUAUGGGAG
rnacentral:rRNA from 1 species